UUAAAACAAACUCCCUUAUGGGCCUGCUUAUAAGCCUCGAGGCCUCUCGAAUCAGUUCUUGGGUAUUGAUACAACAAGAAAGAAAGUGUACUCAAAAUUGCUGCUAUAAAACCAAAGGGAGAGGACAAACCUUCAAUUCUUCUAGCUCAACUUUUCCUUUACUUUAGUUCCUCCCUCAAUUUUUUCCCUAUGAUAAUUUUUUACAAUACAUCUUGAAGCAUAUGAUUGAACCACACUCGAAUCACUUUCAAGAAAUCUGGUUAACCAAGGCUUCAAAGAGAUAAGCAACUCUUGUGAAACUGGAAACUUAUCCAAGUAUAAAUAACAAAAUUUGAGAGCUGCUGCCUUGAGCAUUGGGAAUGUAUUCAUAUCCUCACUAAGCAACUCUGGGAGAAUGCUGGACUGGAAGAAGUAGCAGAAAUAAAGAUGGCAUGUAUCCCAUUUCUUCCUUUUGGUCAAGUCUGAAUCAGGUUCAGACUUGGAAUUGUCACACAAGCGCUUCAAGAGUGAAAUCUUUCUCGCUUUCCACGCUACUUUGGCAGUCAUAUGCUCAAAAAUGUAUACAUCUGCCCCAUACAGCGAAGUGUUGUUGUUAGGAAACUCCAAGGCACAGUUCCAUCCAUAUGACACGUUGGACUCCAAGUAAGAGAUGAAGGAAUUGUAGUAGGCUGACAAGUUCAUGUCAUCCUUGGCAUCCCUAGACAAGAGAAAAACCACUAAGCGUAUGGCACACUCCUUUCUCCUCCAAUGUGGACCAUCUAAUUCUUCUUGGUCAAUCGUUCUCGACAAUAACGAUCUGCUUCUAGGUCUACUUCUCAGCAUCUUCUUUACCCUUUUCAUAACCAUCAAAGGCACAUGAAUGGGAAGUUCACUUAAAAGUUUCUCAAGAAACAUAUAGGCAAGUCCCCUCCUAGUAUGCCCAUCACUAAUUAGCAUAUCCCUGGUGAUGAAUUCAAGAUGAUUUGUGGUGAACAAGUGCUCAUCCUCUUCGCUCAUGGCUAAACUAGGAAUUAUAAUUUUGCUCAAGACUACGGGUAUCCAUUUUACAGGGAUAAAAUAUAACUUCACCAGGCGCUUGAGUGCUGAUAUGACAACGUGUUCAUUCACUUUGCGAAAUGAUGUAGAAACAGACUUCAAAAAAUUGGAAAGAAUUAAGAAAUCAUCAUAAUCUGUCUCAAGAGAAAGCUCAGUUGUCUCAUAGACAGCUUGUGUAAGCUUAUCAAAAGUUGAUACCUCAUGGUCGUGGUCGCCAACCAGUUGUUGAAGAUGUUCAUACUUGCCACUCAAAUAGGUUUUCGUUCUCUGCUUCCAAUUAAGUAUAGCAGAAUGCAAAUCAAGGUCACAAGGAUGCAAAUGAAGUUCACAAGGUUGCAAAUGAAGGUCACAAGGAUGCAAAUGAUUUAAUAUUCUAUGGCACAGCCACUCC
rnacentral:misc_RNA from 1 species